rnacentral:tRNA from 1 species
CAAGAUGUAGUUUAUUUAAUAAAUUUUUCUUUUACAUAGAAAAGAUAAUGUCAAUCAUUCGUUUUGA